UCUCCGUAGGUGAACCUGCGGAGGGAUCAUUACAGAGUUUUCUAACUCCCAAACCCUUUGUGAACACAACUUGUUGCUUCGGGGGCGACCCUGCCGUUUCGACGGCGAGCGCCCCCGGAGGCCUUCAAACACUGCAUCUUUGCGUCGGAGUUUAAGUAAAUUAAACAAAACUUUCAACAACGGAUCUCUUGGUUCUGGCAUCGAUGAAGAACGCAGC
rnacentral:misc_RNA from 1 species